UUUGAACCUGGCUCAGGACGAACGCUGGCGGCGUGCCUAAUACAUGCAAGUUGAGCGCUGAAGGUUGGUACUUGUACCGACUGGAUGAGCAGCGAACGGGUGAGUAACGCGUGGGGAAUCUGCCUUUGAGCGGGGGACAACAUUUGGAAACGAAUGCUAAUACCGCAUAACAACUUUAAACACAAGUUUUAAGUUUGAAAGAUGCAAUUGCAUCACUCAAAGAUGAUCCCGCGUUGUAUUAGCUAGUUGGUGAGGUAAAGGCUCACCAAGGCGAUGAUACAUAGCCGACCUGAGAGGGUGAUCGGCCACAUUGGGACUGAGACACGGCCCAAACUCCUACGGGAGGCAGCAGUAGGGAAUCUUCGGCAAUGGACGAAAGUCUGACCGAGCAACGCCGCGUGAGUGAAGAAGGUUUUCGGAUCGUAAAACUCUGUUGGUAGAGAAGAACGUUGGUGAGAGUGGAAAGCUCAUCAAGUGACGGUAACUAC
rnacentral:rRNA from 1 species